AACGAACGCUGGCGGCGUGCCUAACACAUGUAAGUCGAGCGCGAACGGUUCCUUCGGGGACCUAGUAGAGCGGCGAACGGGUGAGUAACGCGUGGGUGAUCUGCCCUCUGGUGGGGAAUAACCACGGGAAACUGUGGCUAAUGCCGCAUUAGCUCUACGGAGGAAAGCAUGCCUCUGCUUCAAGCAUGCGCCAGAGGAGGAGCCCGCGUCCCAUUAGCUAGUUGGUGGGGUAAUGGCCUACCAAGGCAACGAUGGGUAGCCGGCCUGAGAGGGUGAACGGCCACACUGGGACUGAGACACGGCCCAG
rnacentral:rRNA from 1 species